CUGGCGGCAGGCCUAACACAUGCAAGUCGAACGAACCUUCGGGUGAGUGGCGCACGGGUGCGUAACGCGUGGGAAUAUACACAUAGGUAAGGAAUAACUGCUGGAAACGGUAGCUAAUACCUUAUAAUGACUCCGGUCCAAAGAUUUAUCGCCUAUGAAUUAGCCCGCGUCAGAUUAGAUUGUUGGUGAGGUAACGGCUCACCAAGUCGACGAUCUGUAGGGGGUCUGAGAGGAUGAUCCCCCACACUGGUACUGAGACACGGACCAGACUCCUACGGGAGGCAGCAGUGAGGAAUAUUGGACAAUGGGGGAAACCCUGAUCCAGCCAUGCCGCGUGAGUGACGACGGCCUUAGGGUUGUAAAGCUCUUUCAAUGGUGAAGAUAAUGACGGUAGCCAUACAAGAAGCCCCGGCUAAAUUCGUGCCAGCAGCCGCGGUAAUACGAAUGGGGCAAGCGUUGUUCGGAAUAACUGGGCUUAAAGCGUAUGUAGGCGGAC
rnacentral:rRNA from 1 species